rnacentral:rRNA from 1 species
GACAGAGGGUGCAAACGUUUGUUCGGAAUUACUGGGCGUAAAGCGCGUGUAGGCGGGAAGGAAAGUCGGGCGUGAAAUCCCUGGGCUCAACCCAGGAACUGCACUCGAAACUUCUUUUCUUGAGUGCCGGAGAGGAAAGCGGAAUUCCUGGUGUAGAGGUGAGAUUCGUAGAUAUCAGGAGGAACACCAGUGGCGAAGGCGGCUUUCUGGACGGUAACUGGACGCUGAGACGCGAAAGCGUGGGGAGCAAACAGG